rnacentral:rRNA from 1 species
ACGCUGGCGGCAGGCCUAACACAUGCAAGUCGAGCGGAAACACAAGGGGAGCUUGCUCCUGAGGUGUCGAGCGGCGGACGGGUGAGUAAUACCUAGGUAUCUGCCCAAUCGUGGGGGAUAACAGUUGGAAACGACUGCUAAUACCACAUACGCCCUACGGGGGAAAGGAGGGGACCUUCGGGCCUUCCGCGAUUGGAUGAACCUAGGCGGGAUUAGCUAGUUGGUGAGGUAAUGGCUCACCAAGGCGACGAUCCCUAGCUGGUCUGAGAGGAUGAUCAGCCACACUGGAACUGAGACACGGUCCGGACUCCUACGGGAGGCAGCAGUGGGGAAUAUUGCACAAUGGGCGAAAGCCUGAUGCAGCCAUGCCGCGUGUAUGAAGAAGGCCUUCGGGUUGUAAAGUACUUUCAGCGAGGAGGAAAGGUAGGUAGUUAAUAACUGCUUACUGUGACGUUACUCGCAGAAGAAGCACCGGCUAACUUCGUGCCAGCAGCCGCGGUAAUACGAGGGGUGCAAGCGUUAUCGGAAUUACUGGGCGUAAAGCGUACGCAGGCGGUUUGUUAAGCGAGAUGUGAAAGCCCCGGGCUCAACCUGGGAACUGCAUUUCGAACUGGCAAACUAGAGUCUUGUAGAGGGGGGUAGAAUUUCAGGUGUAGCGGUGAAAUGCGUAGAGAUCUGAAGGAAUACCGGUGGCGAAGGCGGCCCCCUGGACAAAGACUGACGCUCAUGUACGAAAGCGUGGGGAGCAAACAGGAGUUAGAUACCCUGGUAGUCCACGCCGUAAACGAUGUCUACUCGGAAUUUGGUGCUUGAACACUGGGUUCUCAAGCUAACGCAUUAAGUGACCGCCUGGGGAGUACGGCCGCAAGGUAAAACUCAUAAUGAAUGACG